rnacentral:rRNA from 1 species
ACGGGUGAGUAACACGUGGGUGAUCUGCCCUGCACUCUGGGAUAAGCCUGGGAAACUGGGUCUAAUACCGGAUAGGACCACACACUUCAUGGUGAGUGGUGCAAAGCUUUUGCGGUGUGGGAUGAGCCCGCGGCCUAUCAGCUUGUUGGUGGGGUAAUGGCCCACCAAGGCGACGACGGGUAGCCGGCCUGAGAGGGUGACCGGCCACACUGGGACUGAGAUACGGCCCAGACUCCUACGGGAGGCAGCAGUGGGGAAUAUUGCACAAUGGGCGCAAGCCUGAUGCAGCGACGCCGCGUGAGGGAUGACGGCCUUCGGGUUGUAAACCUCUUUCAGUAGGGACGAAGCGAAAGUGACGGUACCUACAGAAGAAGGACCGGCCAACUACGUGCCAGCAGCCGCGGUAAUACGUAGGGUCCGAGCGUUGUCCGGAAUUACUGGGCGUAAAGAGCUCGUAGGUGGUUUGUCGCGUUGUUCGUGAAAACUCACAGCUUAACUGUGGGCGUGCGGGCGAUACGGGCAGACUAGAGUACUGCACGGGAGACUGGAAAUUCCUGG